rnacentral:rRNA from 1 species
CGGUGGCUAAUACCGCAUAAUGCCUACGGGCCAAAGUGUGGGACCUUCGGGCCCACAUGCCAUCAGAUGAACCCAAGCGAGAUUAGCUAGUUGGUGAGGUAACGGCUCACCAAGGCGACGAUCUCUAGCUGUUCUGAGAGGAUGAUCAGCCACACUGGGACUGAGACACGGCCCAGACUCCUACGGGAGGCAGCAGUGGGGAAUAUUGGACAAUGGGCGCAAGCCUGAUCCAGCCAUGCCGCGUGUGUGAAGAAGGCCUUCGGGUUGUAAAGCACUUUCAGUGGUGAGGAAGGCGUUGUAGUUAAUAGCUGCAACGAUCGACGUUAGCCACAGAAGAAGCACCGGCUAACUCCGUGCCAGCAGCCGCGGUAAUACGGAGGGUGCGAGCGUUAAUCGGAAUUACUGGGCGUAAAGCGCACGUAGGCGGCUUGUUAAGCAAGAUGUGAAAGCCCAGGGCUCAACCUUGGAAUUGCAUUUUGAACUGGCAAGCUAGAGUUUUGAAGAGGGUGGUAGAAUUUCCAGUGUAGCGGUGAGAUGCGUAGAUAUUGGAAGGAAUACCAGUGGCGAAGGCGGCCACCUGGUCAAAAACUGACGCUGAGGAGCGAAAGCGUGGGGAGCAAACAG